UCUCUGAUGGUCCAGGAGUUAAGACUCUGCACUUCCAAUGCAAGGGGCACAAGUUCAAUCCCUGAUUGGGGAA
rfam:Ovis aries breed Texel chromosome 16, whole genome shotgun sequence.